rnacentral:tRNA from 1 species
UCCAGGAUAGCCUAGUGAACAUGGCACCUGCCCGGUAAGCAGAAGGUUGUGGGUUCGAUUCCCGCUUCUGGAC